UCUUUAUAUUUAUUUAUUUUAUUAUAUUUUAGUUUUAUUAUCUAUUUUAAAAUAAUUUUUUAUUUGAUUGGGGUGAUUUUAGAAUUUAACUAACUACUAUUAAAUUUAUCAUUGAUGAAUGUUUUAUUGAUCCUUUAUUAUUGAUUAUAAGAUUAAGUUACCUUAGGGAUAACAGCGUAAUUUUUUCGGAGAGUUCAUAUUGAUGAAGAAGUUUGCGACCUCGAUGUUGGAUUAAAAUAAGUUAUGGGCGCAGUUGUCUAUAAACUGAGUCUGUUCGACUUUUAAAUUUUUACAUGAUCUGAGUUCAAACCGGAGGA
rnacentral:rRNA from 1 species